rnacentral:tRNA from 1 species
GGAGAGUUCGCAUAGUGGUCGAGUGCGCUCGCUUGGAAAGCGAGUAGGGUGUCAAAGCCCUCGGGAGUUCGAAUCUCCCACUCUCCGCCA